UUUUUUUUUUUUUUUUUAUGUAUGUUACAUCAGAACUUUUGACCAGGUAGACCGAUUUCGACAAAUUUUAUUUUAAUCGAAAGGUGGUGUGUGCCAAUUGGUCCCAUUUAAAUUUAUUUGAGAUCUAACAACUACUUUUCGAGUUAUAUCUAAUAAUGCGUUUUUACUUGACGCUUUUUUCGUCGACCUACGUUGUAUUAUACCGCAUAACUUUCUACUGGAUGUACCGAUUUUGAUAAUUCUUUUUUUGUUGGAAAGAAGAUAUCCCUAGUUUGGUACCAUGAUAAGGAAACCAGGAUCUGAUGAUGGGAUCCCAGAGAAAUCGAGGGAAACUCUCGAAAAUCCGCAAUAACUUUUUACUGGGUGUACCGAUUUUGAUAAUUUUCAAUUUAAUUGAAAGCUGAUGUUUAUCAUGUGGUCACAUAUAAAUUUUAUCGAGAUCUAAUAACUACUUUUUGAGUAAUCUUUGAUAACGCGUAGUUGCUUGACUAUUUUUUCGUCGAUCUACGUUGUAUUACUUGUCGAUGUAAUUGAAGUCGGUUUUUUUUUUCGUUUACGAGCAAACACAAUUAUUUUUAUAU
rnacentral:misc_RNA from 1 species